rnacentral:misc_RNA from 1 species
AAGUCGUAACAAGGUUUCCGUAGGUGAACCUGCGGAAGGAUCAUUAUCGAGUUCGGGUCCUCUGGGCCCCAUCUCCAACCCUUGUCUAUCUUACCAUGUUGCUUUGGCGGGCCCGUCUUUAACCGGACCGCUGGGGAUUUACGUCCCUGGCCCGCGCCCGUCAGAAGCCCCGAUACAAUCUCUUCACAGUGACGUCUAAGUAUAACUAUAACCAAUAAAACUUUCAACAACGGAUCUCUUGGUUCUG